AGCAGCCGCGGUAAUUCCAGCUCCAAUAGCGUAUAUUAAAGUUGUUGCAGUUAAAAAGCUCGUAGUUGAAUUUCGGGGUUCAUACGUUGGUCGGGCUAUUUGGUCUGUACUUAUGUAAUGGAUUCCUACCUUCUGAAUAACCGGCAUGCCAUUAAUUUGGUGCGCCGGGGAAGCAGGACUGUUACCUUGAAAAAAUUAGAGUGCUUAAAGCAGGCUAUCGCCUGAAUACAUUAGCAUGGAAUAAUGAAAUAGGACGGCAUGGUUCUAUUUUGUUGGUUUCUAGGAUCACCGUAAUGAUUAAUAGGGAUAGUUGGGGGCAUUAGUAUUCAAUUGUCAGAGGUGAAAUUCUUGGAUUUAUUGAAGACUAACUUCUGCGAAAGCAUUUGCCAAGGAUGUUUUCAUUAAUCAAGAACGAAAGUUAGGGGAUCGAAGACGAUCAGAUACCGUCGUAGUCUUAACCAUAAACUAUAGCCGACUAGGGAUCGGAUGAUGUUAAUUUUUAAUAGACUCAUUCGGCGCC
rnacentral:rRNA from 1 species